UACGUAGGGGGCGAGCGUUGUCCGGAUUUAUUGGGCGUAAAGAGCUCGUAGGCGGUUUGGCAAGUCGGGUGUGAAAACUCCGGGCUCAACUCGGAGACGCCACUCGAUACUGCUAUGACUCGAGUCCGGUAGGGGAGUGCGGAAUUCCUGGUGUAGCGGUGAAAUGCGUAGAUAUCUGGAGGAACACCGGUGGCGAAGGCGGUUCUCUGGGACGGUACUGACGCUGAGACGCGAAAGCGUGGGGAGCGAACAGG
rnacentral:rRNA from 1 species